rnacentral:rRNA from 1 species
GACGAACGCUGGCGGCGUGCUUAACACAUGCAAGUCGAACGGAAAGGCCCUGCUUUUGUGGGGUGCUCGAGUGGCGAACGGGUGAGUAACACGUGAGUAACCUGCCCUUGACUUUGGGAUAACUUCAGGAAACUGGGGCUAAUACCGGAUAGGAGCUCCUGCUGCAUGGUGGGGGUUGGAAAGUUUCGGCGGUUGGGGAUGGACUCGCGGCUUAUCAGCUUGUUGGUGGGGUAGUGGCUUACCAAGGCUUUGACGGGUAGCCGGCCUGAGAGGGUGACCGGCCACAUUGGGACUGAGAUACGGCCCAGACUCCUACGGGAGGCAGCAGUGGGGAAUAUUACACAACGGGCGGAAGCCUGAUGCAGCAACGCCGCGUGCGGGAUGACGGCCUUCGGGUUGUAAACCGCUUUCGCCUGUGACGAAGCGUGAGUGACGGUAAUGGGUAAAGAAGCACCGGCUAACUACGUG